UACGAAGGGGGGCUAGCGUUGCUCGGAAUGACUGGGCGUAAAGGGCGCGUAGGCGGAUGGCACAGUCAGAUGUGAAAUUCCCCGGGCUCAACCUGGGGGGCUGCGCUUGAGACGUGCGAUCUUGAGUGGGGAAGAGGGUCGUGGAAUUCCCAGUGUAGAGGUGAAAUUCGUAGAUAUUGGGAAGAACACCGGUGGCGAAGGCGGCGACCUGGUCCUUGACUGACGCUGAGGCGCGAAAGCGUGGGGAGCAAACAGG
rnacentral:rRNA from 1 species